rnacentral:lncRNA from 1 species
GUCGCAUUAAAAAGUCCCUCCUCCUAACACCACUGCAAACAUUCAAAACACAUACAUAACCACCAGAAAUAGACCACACAUACACACGCAGCCUCUCCCCAACACACAUACAAUCACACAAAGCUGCAAUCACACCCAAAUAUAACAAAGGAAUUCACUAACGUACACACACAUUCAUAUUUUUUUAAAGAAAAUAGGGCUAUCACUGUAGAGACGUCCAAGUAUUACUUUGGCACAACACUACCAAAAGGUUGUAUAACCCUUGUAUAUAUGUGCCCAUUUGGUUAAUCCACCUGGUAAAUGUAAGCAGACAUAAUAAAGAUACAUUAAUGCCUAAUUAUUUAGCAGGUACAUUUAGAUUUUUUUCGUUUUUAAAGAAGCAUAUCGUAAGGAGUGGGGUGGAUGAUUGCGGCCAAACCGAAUGUGAGUCCCUGUAACUGCAAAUAUUUUUGUCUGUCUGCUCACCCUGCUCAUAAUCCUUAGAUGGGAUAUUGCCGGGAGCAAUAGAUAGAUUCAGGGAAUAUGACGCUAUAAUAUUCAUUGGCUUAAGCAUCUCUAUUACUUUUGCUGUUUCCCCUCCUGGCUGAAGGUACAGGAGACUUACAACCUCUGGCCUGAAACAGUUAUGAGCAGUCCUUACCCAGCCACCACAUAACUACCUCCAAGGCAGCCAGUAUCCUUUAUGGUGUAAGUAUUUCAUUAUCUGCCUAUGUAUGGCUCUGUAUGUAUCUGUGUGUGUGUGUGUGUGUGUGUGUGUUUGUCUGUUUGUCUGUUUAUGUAUGCCUGUCUGUGUGUAACUGUAUAUCUGUCUUUGCCUAUAUGUACCUACUACCUACAUGUGUCUGUGUGGGACUAAAUGUACUUAUAUGUGCAUAUCUGUGUCUGCCAAAGCCUGUGUGUAUCCCUCUGUGUCUGUUUGUGUAUGUUUGACUGUCUGUGUCUAACUGUGUCUGUCAGUGCCUGUGUGUGUCAGCUUAUGCCUGCGUGUUACUGACUGUGUUUAUUUGCCUACCUGUGUGUGUCUGUUACCCUUGAUUGUCUUUGUACAUUUGUGUUUGUGUGUACCUGUGUGAGUCAGUAAGUAAUUGUGAGUUUGUAAAGACACGUGUUAAUGGGUGGUGUUUGGGGAUGGGGAAUGAGUGGGACUUUAGGAAAGGAUAACCAAACAAUUUUUGGGUUAAGCCCUUAUUGUUUGUUUGUUUGUUUUUCAAAUAUAUAUUUAUACUUACCUAGUUGAAUGCUAUUCAUUAUAUGAUAUGAUUUCCAUGAAAAAUAAAAAUUGUGAGAAAUUACUUUACAUUUAGCUUAAUAGGGAAAUAAUUAAAACUAUUUGGUAGUUAUAAAGUUUAGGCCCAACACAGAUCUGGACUAUUGCACAGAAUAUAAUAAAAUAUUAACAUAUACAAGUUCUUUAGCUUUUGUGACCAUAUGUAGGUAAUAGGAGUAGGUCCCACAAGGGGAAACCAACAUCAGGAGAGCUCCACUGUAUAAGAAAUGAGGAAGGGAGGCCCUACCUUUAAUCAAUCUAAGGAUAAAAAGGGAUAUGCAAACAAAAAGUAUAACUUGAAAAAA